rnacentral:rRNA from 1 species
GCAUAAUCACUCGCCUUUUAAUUGGAGGCUAAGAUGAAUGGAUAAACGAGGGCAAAGCUGUCUCUUUUACCCCCUUAAAAAUUAGCCCUCAGGUGAAGAUACCUGGAUAAAAAUGAAAGACAAGAAGACCCUGUUGAGCUUUACUCUACCUGCUUUAAAUUAAUAAUAGUUUUAAAAUUAAUUCUUAGUACCCGAGUUCUGUUGGGGCGACAAAGGAAUAUACCAAUCUUCCUUCAAUUAAUAGAUAACCAAUCCCUCUUUUGACCCUCCCCAGAUCAAAGAAAUCAGCUACCACAGGGAUAACAGGCUAAUUCUUCUUGAGAGCCCACAUUAACAGAAGAGU